GGCUCACCCAAAUGUCAUGAUAUGUCACUUUUUACACGUGUCAUAGGUUCGCUGUCACUGCCUCAACCAAUUUAUGAUGAAACUGAAAGCAAAUUUAAUCCACAACUAUAUAAUUGGACAAAAUACACUGUAGCUAUGGAAUGAUGCAGCUGGGAGCAGUUUCACUGUUAAUUUGGAAUGUGAUGCCUAAUAAGUGGAAUUUCCUAAUACAUUCAUAGCAGGCCAGAAAGCAAGAUGUCUCUGAGGACAGAUAGAAGGUGCUCUCCAAUGAAACUAUAUUUAUGCAGUUGCUGUUUGCAGGAUUCUAUUUCACCAAUGCUCCCAAAAAGGCUCCUGAACUCUUCUUGGGUCAUGUUCUGGG